GCGUUGGGGGGGUAAAGGUCAGCAUGGACGCCUUCCAAGCAUUCGACGGGGGUUCGAUUCCCCCCGAACGCA
rnacentral:tRNA from 1 species